rnacentral:tRNA from 1 species
GGCUUGGUGGCUGAGUAGUAAAGCUCUGGGCUUCCAAACCGGGGUCCCGGGUUCGAAUCCUGGUGAAGACU